AAUAGAUACCCCGGGUAGUCCACGCCGUAAACGAUGAGUGCUAAGUGUUAGAGGGUUUCCGCCCUUUAGUGCUGCAGCAAACGCAUUAAGCACUCCGCCUGGGGAGUACGGUCGCAAGACUGAAACUCAAAGGAAUUGACGGGGGCCCGCACAAGCGGUGGAGCAUGUGGUUUAAUUCGAAGCAACGCGAAGAACCUUACCAGGUCUUGACAUCCUUAUGCCUUCUCUAGAGAUAGAGCUUUCCCUUCGGGGACAUAAGUGACAGGUGGUGCAUGGUUGUCGUCAGCUCGUGUCGUGAGAUGUUGGGUUAAGUCCCGCAACGAGCGCAACCCUUGAUCUUAGUUGCCAGCAUUCAGUUGGGCACUCUAAGGUGACUGCCGGUGACAAACCGGAGGAAGGUGGGGAUGACGUCAAAUCAUCAUGCCCCUUAUGACCUGGGCUACACACGUGCUACAAUGGAUGGUACAAAGGGAAGCGAAACCGCGAGGUUAAGCCAAUCCCAUAAAAACCAUUCUCAGUUCGGAUUGCAGGCUG
rnacentral:rRNA from 1 species